rnacentral:rRNA from 1 species
ACGAACGCUGGCGGCGCGUUUUAAGCAUGCAAGUCGAACGAGAAGUGUACUUCGGUACACUGAAAGUGGCGAACGGGUGAGUAACACGUAGAUAAUCUGCCUCUGUGUUGGGGAUAGCUCAUGGAAACAUGGGGUAAUACCGAAUACGAUCCCUGGAUCGGUAGGGUCCUGGGAAGAAAGGUGCUACGGCACCGCACGGAGAUGAGUCUGCGGUUCAUUAGCUAGUUGGUGGGGUAACGGCCCACCAAGGCGACGAUGAAUAGCCGGCCUGAGAGGGUGACCGGCCACACUGGGACUGAGACACGGCCCAGACUCCUACGGGAGGCAGCAGCUAAGAAUCUUCCGCAAUGGGCGAAAGCCUGACGGAGCGACGCCGCGUGAACGAUGAAGGCCGAGAGGUUGUAAAGUUCUUUUCUCAGGGAGGAAUAACCGUGAUAGGGAAUGAUCGCGGGAUGACGUUAACUGAGGAAUAAGCCCCGGCUAAUUACGUGCCAGCCGCCGCGGUAAUAC